rnacentral:rRNA from 1 species
UAACGCGUGAGCAACCUGCCUUUCAGUGGGGGACAACAGUUGGAAACGACUGCUAAUACCGCAUAAUGCAUUUUGACCGCAUGGUCGAGAUGCCAAAGAUUUAUUGCUGAAAGAUGGGCUCGCGUCUGAUUAGAUAGUUGGUGAGGUAACGGCCCACCAAGGCGACGAUCAGUAGCCGACCUGAGAGGGUGACCGGCCACAUUGGGACUGAGACACGGCCCAA